GUUCCUUUCGGCGCAUAUCUGCCGAUGCGUUAUGUUUGCAUACUGGCUAUGUGAUUUGAUCGAUCGCCGGUUUCCUGUGAGAAACACAGGUUGUUUGUCGAGUCAGGUGGCUUGGGUGCAUUACCGUUAAUUAUGUGUGUCCGACAGUCGAGACCGCACACACUCAGUUCUGAUAAGGCUAGUCUACCAUCUAAGACAGCAUCGCCAUUCACCACCAGUGAGAUUGCAUUGCUAAGUUUUAGUGGAAGCAAUAAAAAUACCUUUGAACAAUAUUUUGACAAGAACAGCAACCGUUCAUAAAACAAAGCACACCGCUACAGCUACUCGUUUGCGCUUGACCACGAUUGCGAGUGUAAGAUUCCGGAUACCUGAAAAGUAUAACAGUAGUAGGUACCGAAACCAUAUCCCUUUAUUCAUUUUCCAACGUCCUGAACAUCAACAUUUAGCCCC